rnacentral:tRNA from 1 species
AAUAAAGUGCCUGAGUUAAAGGGCUAUUUUGAUAGAAUAGAUCACGCAUUAGAAAAUGCCUUUAUUA